CCUUGAGGGCGUCCUUGAGGGAAAUGAAUGGGCUGUUGCUGUCGUCCAUCCCUGCAUCAGCAAUUGCGCAUAGACGCUGUCACGACUCUGUCUGAAGUAAUGUAGCCAACCGAGCACUGAUUUCAUGUGCAAAUCUGGAGGUUUAGUUAGCAGGAUAAGAAUCCAGGCACAUGAUGCUCUUACCAUUCUCGGUGAUGUAGACCGGCGGACUGUUGUACCUGUCCUUUACAUAGUUCAUCAGGCU